rnacentral:rRNA from 1 species
UACAGAGACUGCAAGCGUUAUUCGGAUUCACUGGGCGUAAAGGGUGCGCAGGCGGCCGAGUGUGUGAGGCGUGAAAGCCCGGGGCUUAACCCCGGAAUUGCACCUCAAACUACACGGCUAGAGCAUUGGAGAGGGUAGCAGAAUUCACGGUGUAGCAGUGAAAUGCGUAGAUAUCGAUGAGGAAUACCAGAGGCGAAGGCGGCUACCUGGACAAUUGCUGACGCUCAGGCACGAAAGCGUGGGGAGCAAAAGGG